UACAGAGGGUGCGAGCGUUAUCCGGAAUUAUUGGGCGUAAAGAGCUCGUAGGCGGUUUGUCGCGUCUGCUGUGAAAACUGGGGGCUCAACCCCCAGCCUGCAGUGGGUACGGGCAGACUAGAGUGCGGUAGGGGAGAUUGGAAUUCCUGGUGUAGCGGUGAAAUGCGUAGAUAUCUGGAGGAACACCGGUGGCGAAGGCGGCAUCCUGGACCGGCAUUGACGCUGAGGCGCGAAAGCCAGGGGAGCAAACGGG
rnacentral:rRNA from 1 species